UACGUAGGGCGCAAGCGUUAUCCGGAAUUAUUGGGCGUAAAGAGCUCGUAGGCGGUUUGUCGCGUCUGCCGUGAAAGUCCGGGGCUCAACUCCGGAUCUGCGGUGGGUACGGGGCAGACUAGAGUGAUGUAGGGGAGACUGGAAUUCCUGGUGUAGCGGUGAAAUGCGCAGAUAUCAGGAGGAACACCGGUGGCGAAGGCGGAUCUCGUGGGCCGAUACUGACGCUGGAGGUGCGAGAGCGUGGGGAGCGAACCGG
rnacentral:rRNA from 1 species